rnacentral:rRNA from 1 species
CGAGCACGCGCGUGUGGCAUAUCAAUAAGCGGAGGAAAAGAAACUAACAAGGAUUCCCUUAGUAACGGCGAGUGAAGCGGGAAGAGCUCAAAUUUGAAAUCUUCAAGGUUCUACCUUGACGAAUUGUAGUUUAUAGAAGUGUUUUCUGUUAGUAGAGUGGCGAAAGUUCUUUGGAAUAGGACAUCAUAGAGGGUGAGAAUCCCGUAUUUGGUCAUUCCUCCUAGCGUUGUGAUACACUUUCAACGAGUCGGAUUGUUUGGGAAUGCAGUCCAAAAUGGGUGGUAAAUUUCAUCUAAAGCUAAAUAUUGGCGAGAGACCGAUAGCGAACAAGUACCGUGAGGGAAAGAUGAAAAGAACUUUGAAAAGAGAGUUAAACAGUACGUGAAAUUGUCAAAAGGGAAGCGUUUGACACCAGUGUUGUUUUUCCGAAAAUCAAUUACGAAUGUUUUAUUUUUGAGGAGUUAUGACUUCAUCGGCUUGCUCCUUUCUUUAUGAAACUUUCUUAAUGCACUUUUCGGUUAACAAGUCAACAUCAAUUUCUUUUGUUGUAAAAGGGUAUGAGGAAGGUGGCAUUCUUUUCGGAGAAAGUGUUUAUAGCCUUGUGCCUCUGCAAUCGGAGAGAUUGAGGUCUGCAGCGUAGAUCCUUCGGGGUUAGAUACACUUGUGCUAAGUUAUAGCUUUUCAUAGACAACUUGUUGACUAUGUUUAGUCUUGUAAUUUACUCGCUUAUGCUAUUUUACCUACGCUUAGGAUGUUGAUGUGAUACUGCGAGC